rnacentral:rRNA from 1 species
AAGCCUGAUGCAGCAACGCCGCGUGAACGAUGAAGGUCUUCGGAUCGUAAAGUUCUGUUGCAGGGGAAGAUAAUGACGGUACCCUGUGAGGAAGCCCCGGCUAACUACGUGCCAGCAGCCGCGGUAAUACGUAGGGGGCUAGCGUUAUCCGGAUUUACUGGGCGUAAAGGGUGCGUAGGUGGUCCUUCAAGUCGGUGGUUAAAGGCUACGGCUCAACCGUAGUAAGCCGCCGAAACUGGAGGACUUGAGUGCAGGAGAGGAAAGUGGAAUUCCCAGUGUAGCGGUGAAAUGCGUAGAUAUUGGGAGGAACACCAGUAGCGAAGGCGGCUUUCUGGACUGCAACUGACACUGAGGCACGAAAGCGUGGGUAGCAAACAGGAUUAGAUACCCUGGUAGUCCACGCUGUAAACGAUGAGUACUAGGUGUCGGGGGUUACCCCCCUCGGUGCCGCAGCUAACGCAUUAAGUACUCCGCCUGGGGAGUACGCACGCAAGUGUGAAACUCAAAGGAAUUGACGGGGACCCGCACAAGUAGCGGAGCAUGUGGUUUAAUUCGAAGCAAGCGAAGAACCU